ensembl:lncRNA
CGUGGCAUUCUCCAGGCCAGAAUGCUGGAUUGGGUAGCCUUUCCCUUCUCCAGGGGUUCUUCCCAACACAAAGCAGUGAACCUCUCUCCAGUCCCUGCCUCCAUGACCUAUAAGCUGCAGAGGACGAUAUGGGCAUGGUCCCCAGAGGCCUGGGCAGCUGGAGGAUGUGACCCGGGCUACUAAGGUAAGAGCUUCCCAGCUCCUGUCUCUCUGUUCACGUUUCCACACUUGGUCCAGCACUGAUCGGUUGUCCACCCCCAGGAGAUGGCAGGAGGUUAGGUUGGUGUGCAAAGAUCUUACACAUCAUUUCAGGCUCGCCUCUGUGGUUGGGACCUCUCUCAAAGAGAGUAAUUGUUGUGAACUAGGUUUUAACUCGGUUGGAAAUUGUUACAAGUGUCUCUCUGCAGCUUAAAUGAACAGCCUGAGGCCCAGCUGGGUCCUGGGCACCAGGCACCCAGAGAGAUAAAUGUUGGGUGGGGUCUUGGACCCAGCUCUGAGGUGCUGCCCGCUGAGACCUGCCCCCUCAGCCAGGGCUGGGCACUGGAUGGAGGACCCCGACUUCGUGCCGGAUACUCUGACCACAUAGGACCCCCUCCUCCUGGCCUGGGCCUGGACCCCAGAGGUAGACGGUGGUGCCUGGGACCUGAUGCUUUCCUGUCAGAACUGAGGGUAGCCUUUGUUUUGGGGGGAGGUUUACAGCAACAUUACGGCUUCCCUCAUAGCUCCAUGAGUAAAGAACCUGUCUGCAGUGCAGGGGACCUGGGUUUGAUUCUUGGGUUGGCAAGGUCCCCUGGAGAAGGAAAUGGCAACCCACUCCAGUAUUCCUGCCUGGAGAGUCCCAUGGACAGAGGAGCCUGGCAGGCUACAGUCCAUGGGGCCGCAGGAGUCGGACUUGACUCAGUGACUAAACCACCACCACCACAAGAACAUCGUGACCUGACCAGGACCUGACCUCAGGAACAAAGACUCUGACCCCAGACGCAACCAGGCCACUCCCUCAGCUUUCCUAGAAAAGCACUUUGCUGAAAGUUUUCUGGGUGCUCAGCUUUUUGUGUGUGUUUGUCUUUUCUCCUUGUGUGGCCCUGCAGUAAGGCUUUCUCUCCUCACUGUGUGUUAGGAGCACAAACUUGUGAUCAGUACCAAGAUGAUAUUCUAAUCAAGAAUAGAAUCUCUGUUUAUUCUCAACGUGCUAGAUUUGUCCCUCCUCACCCUGAAAUGUUCACUAUCAACUAUACCUGGGGACAGAACAUUUUCACUCAUAUGAAUUAUUUUCAUAAUCAGAGAGGAGUGUGUGAGCCUGAGAGUCAGGUUUUGAAAUAAAAUGUUGACUCGGACAAGCCAGACUUGUCCAUAGAACCACAGCGGCAGUGGGACUCGCCCUGUGCAGAGUCCAGUUACUUCUGAAGGUUCUGUGAUGUGUGGUCGCCAUGGUAAUGUGGUGGUACACAUUCCUCAUUCUGCACGCAGUGUGUUUGCGAGCUGACAUCUUCGUGUAUUGUGGCAAAGAGGAAUGGGCAACCUAAACUGCUGUUUGGGAGGGGGUUUCAUCCAGAAGCGGAGAAGAAAUAGCCCUGAGAUUAAAAAAUUAAGAACCAGCCAGAUGAAGAGACUUCGUUGUUGGCCACAUAAUAGGGUGCACCCUAGUGGCUCAACUGAAGAUCUCCCUGAGGAGCAGCUUGAGGAGCGAUCCAUUUCAACGUUGGAGGAAGAGGCUCUGCCCUACUCCAUAGCGCAUGAACAAGCCAGUGAACACGCUCCCCAGGAGGACAUGGCGGUGGAACUGUCCCAGGACCAGGCUGCGGAAGAGCCUCUGGACACUGUGAACGAAUCUGGGGAAGCCAAUGAACAUGCUCCCCAGGAGCACCUGGUGUUGGAACCGCCCCAGGCCGGGGCUGAGGAACCCCUCUGCAUCCCCCUGGAGGCAGCCAGGGCAGCCAGUGAACACGGUUUCACUGAGGACCUGCCAGUCAACCCAACUUGUGACAGCACCGAAGAGACUCCAUGUGUCUCCAAGGAAAGUUGGUUUUUUUUUUUCCUGGUCUAAGAUAGAAAUAUUGUUUCCUUUCUUUUUCAGUAGAAUUAAGUUAUGAGUCUUUGAAGGUGUUCGCUUCAGAUAGAGACAAUUCCCUUGGUUGGGAUAAUGUGGAGUGAGACACUUAUUACCAAAUCAUGACGCCUCAGUCCACAGGAUAUUAAAAUUGUUAGCAUCCAUUACACCCUGUCGAGUACAGAUUUCUCUCUCCUGCAGCAAGAUUUCCUCUAAGAAAAGAAUUCUGCAAUUUCCAACCCAAAGGAUCUUGGAAGCUCCAUCCUCCAGGCAAAGGCCUUGCCUUUCAUCCUGAGUAUGUGUGUUCUGAUAUUGCUGAACUCCACCGCUGUUCCUCAUCAGGAACUGUCACCAAAUGAACCAAGGAUUGUGCAUCUAUGUGAUCUUAUCCUCAUAGCGUCUUCUCUUCUGUACUUGCAGGUGGCCCUUUCAGAAUGUGAAAGCGCCUCUCCACAUGACUGCUGCCCUCAGACACCAGAUGAGUACAUGGCGGAUAAUGAAGAUUCAGAGACAGUGAGCAAGAAUACUGAGAUGUCAGACAAUUCUCUAAUCAUCGCUUUGGAGAAUGGCAAAAAUGUCAUCAGUGAUGAUGAAAAAGACCAGGAGGAGCAAGUGUGAACGUGGGGCCUGAGUUGAAAAGGCUCUGAUCUGAAUCCCUGAAGACCUGGACCUGGACCCCAUCCCGGACCCCAGAAGCGGUGGAGCCCACACAGCACCAGGAGCCUCAUCUGGACCAGAUCAGGGGAGGCCUCACUGCUGCUCUCCUGAGGGCCUCGUGUAGCACAGCUUCAGUUGUUUUGUCGUGUAGAUUUAGUGUUAGUUUAAUCCACAGUUUUAUCUACAAGUUCUGUAUGUAUCUGUAUGUUCAAUGUUUAUAGGUAAGGUUUUUCAUUAAAUUUUUAAAA